rnacentral:pre_miRNA from 1 species
CCUAUGUAUAUUUUUAUUGUUUAUGUUCGAUAUUUGAUCGUCCGUAUUUCUUAAAAAAGUUAUAUGAUGAGUAUUUUUAUUGUUACUAGAUGAUAAAACAUAAAUAAUAUUUUGUGUGACUAUUUUUCUUAUUUUUUUUAUAAAAUUUUUAAAUAAGACGAUCAAUCAAACAUUAGACACGAAAUCCCCGAAUGCAGUUAUA